rnacentral:rRNA from 1 species
UACGUAGGUGGCAAGCGUUGUCCGGAUUUACUGGGCGUAAAGGGAGCGUAGGUGGAUAUUUAAGUGGGAUGUGGAAAUCCCCGGGCUUAACCUGGGGGCUGCAUUCCAAACUGGAUGUCUAGAGUGCAGGAGAGGAGAGUGGAAUUCCUAGUAGUAGCGGUGAAAUGCGUAGAGAUUAGGAAGAACACCAGUGGCGAAGGCGACUCUCUGGACUGUAACUGACACUGAGGCUCGGAAAGCGUGGGGAGCAAACAGG